CAGCAGCCGCGGUAAAACGUAGGUGGCAAGCGUUGUCCGGAAUUAUUGGGCGUAAAGGGCUCGCAGGCGGUUUCUUAAGUCUGAUGUGAAAGCCCCCGGCUCAACCGGGGAGGGUCAUUGGAAACUGGGAAACUUGAGUGCAGAAGAGGAGAGUGGAAUUCCACGUGUAGCGGUGAAAUGCGUAGAGAUGUGGAGGAACACCAGUGGCGAAGGCGACUCUCUGGUCUGUAACUGACGCUGAGGAGCGAAAGCGUGGGGAGCGAACAGGAUUAGAGACCCCUGUAGUCCCUGUCUCUUAUAC
rnacentral:rRNA from 1 species